GUCUACGCGAAGAACCUUAUCUAGGCUUGACAUCCCUGGAACCUCCCGGAAACGGGGGGGUGCUCGCAAGAGAGCCAGGAGACAGGUGAUGCAUGGCUGUCG
rnacentral:rRNA from 1 species